AUAUCAUACCACAGAAUACCUAUCGUUGGACACUGAGUGUAAUGUGUCUUUGGUAUGUUGAGACUUUUGGCCAACCACAGAGAGGCCUAUGCGCCCGCUCGUCCUAGUAGCUAGCUACUGAAAAUUUGCCAAUAAGUCACUCGAACUGGGGUUCGUUGUAAUCCCAGUUGCCAAUUUUCAUCUGGGGGUUAGUCUGAGCCUGGCAGAUUGCAUGGCUGGUUAAGCGUCGAUUGCAGGGGGCCAAGGGUGUUCUUACGAGCUGCAUUUUUUUGUGGGCAUGUAUGAUGACAUGUAUGGAAUCUGUCACCUAGCCAAGUUUCCUAGCACUAGGUGGUUGAAGUUUCAUUUUUGUGCAGCACCUAGGACUGCAUGGUCUCUUGGAACCACCUGCAGAUCCAGGAUGAAUGCAGAUAUACAUGUCACAUGUUUCUUGAAUAAACAUUAGUUGGAAGUAGCA
rnacentral:lncRNA from 1 species